rnacentral:misc_RNA from 1 species
AUGAGAAGUUCCGUGGUGGAUU